rnacentral:lncRNA from 1 species
CGGGGCUGACCGGCGCAACAACAGCACCAACGACCUCUUCGCCGCAUCCGCAUCGCCCGCCGACACCACCGCCGCCAAGAACGUCGGCGGCGUCGGCCUCAGACUCAAUCUCAACGAUGGCGGGCCAGGCCUCAUCGGCUCCGGAAAGCUCGCCUUCGGCGGCAGCAAGGCCGACCGCUACAACAACCUCCCCGCCACCACCGAGAAGGCCGCGUCCGCGUCCGCGUACAACAACAACAUCAACGUCAACGCCGGCUACGCCAAGAACAACAACAACAACAGCGCCCUGGCGUUCAACAAGAUGGGGAUCUACGGCUACAACACGAACAACAGCAACAUCAGCAACAACAGCAGCAGCGGGGAGGUGAAGAGCUACUUCAACAAGUCCGCCGGGAGGGCGGCGAGCAACAACAGCCACGGGCACGGGCACGCCGGCGGCAAGAAGGGAGGGGAGUACGGCAAUAAGAAGAAGCACGGCAAGAACGAGGGCAACAACGGCGGUG